rnacentral:rRNA from 1 species
AGCGUACACGGUGGAUGCCCUGGCAGUCAGAGGCGAUGAAGGACGUGCUAAUCUGCGAUAAGCGUCGGUGAGGUGAUAUGAACCGUUAUAACCGGCGAUUUCCGAAUGGGGAAACCCAGUGUGUUUCGACACACUAUCAUUAACUGAAUCCAUAGGUUAAUGAGGCGAACCGGGGGAACUGAAACAUCUAAGUACCCCGAGGAAAAGAAAUCAACCGAGAUUCCCCCAGUAGCGGCGAGCGAACGGGGAGGAGCCCAGAGCCUGAAUCAGUGUGUGUGUUAGUGGAAGCGUCUGGAAAGGCGUGCGAUACAGGGUGACAGCCCCGUACACAAAAAUGCACAUACUGUGAGCUCGAUGAGUAGGGCGGGACACGUGGUAUCCUGUCUGAAUAUGGGGGGACCAUCCUCCAAGGCUAAAUACUCCUGACUGACCGAUAGUGAACCAGUACCGUGAGGGAAAGGCGAAAAGAACCCCGGCGAGGGGAGUGAAAAAGAACCUGAAACCGUGUACGUACAAGCAGUGGGAGCCUCUUAAUGGGGUGACUGCGUACCUUUUGUAUAAUGGGUCAGCGACUUAUAUUCUGUAGCAAGGUUAACCGAAUAGGGGAGCCGAAGGGAAACCGAGUCUUAACUGGGCGUUAAGUUGCAGGGUAUAGACCCGAAACCCGGUGAUCUAGCCAUGGGCAGGUUGAAGGUUGGGUAACACUAACUGGAGGACCGAACCGACUAAUGUUGAAAAAUUAGCGGAUGACUUGUGGCUGGGGGUGAAAGGCCAAUCAAACCGGGAGAUAGCUGGUUCUCCCCGAAAGCUAUUUAGGUAGCGCCUCGUGAAUUCAUCUCCGGGGGUAGAGCACUGUUUCGGCAAGGGGGUCAUCCCGACUUACCAACCCGAUGCAAACUGCGAAUACCGGAGAAUGUUAUCACGGGAGACACACGGCGGGUGCUAACGUCCGUCGUGAAGAGGGAAACAACCCAGACCGCCAGCUAAGGUCCCAAAGUCAUGGUUAAGUGGGAAACGAUGUGGGAAGGCCCAGACAGCCAGGAUGUUGGCUUAGAAGCAGCCAUCAUUUAAAGAAAGCGUAAUAGCUCACUGGUCGAGUCGGCCUGCGCGGAAGAUGUAACGGGGCUAAACCAUGCACCGAAGCUGCGGCAGCGACACUAUGUGUUGUUGGGUAGGGGAGCGUUCUGUAAGCCUGUGAAGGUGGCCUGUGAGGGUUGCUGGAGGUAUCAGAAGUGCGAAUGCUGACAUAAGUAACGAUAAAGCGGGUGAAAAGCCCGCUCGCCGGAAGACCAAGGGUUCCUGUCCAACGUUAAUCGGGGCAGGGUGAGUCGACCCCUAAGGCGAGGCCGAAAGGCGUAGUCGAUGGGAAACAGGUUAAUAUUCCUGUACUUGGUGUUACUGCGAAGGGGGGACGGAGAAGGCUAUGUUGGCCGGGCGACGGUUGUCCCGGUUUAAGCGUGUAGGCUGGUUUUCCAGGCAAAUCCGGAAAAUCAAGGCUGAGGCGUGAUGACGAGGCACUACGGUGCUGAAGCGACAAAUGCCCUGCUUCCAGGAAAAGCCUCUAAGCAUCAGGUAACAUCAAAUCGUACCCCAAACCGACACAGGUGGUCAGGUAGAGAAUACCAAGGCGCUUGAGAGAACUCGGGUGAAGGAACUAGGCAAAAUGGUGCCGUAACUUCGGGAGAAGGCACGCUGAUAUGUAGGUGAAGCGACUUGCUCGUGGAGCUGAAAUCAGUCGAAGAUACCAGCUGGCUGCAACUGUUUAUUAAAAACACAGCACUGUGCAAACACGAAAGUGGACGUAUACGGUGUGACGCCUGCCCGGUGCCGGAAGGUUAAUUGAUGGGGUUAGCGGUAACGCGAAGCUCUUGAUCGAAGCCCCGGUAAACGGCGGCCGUAACUAUAACGGUCCUAAGGUAGCGAAAUUCCUUGUCGGGUAAGUUCCGACCUGCACGAAUGGCGUAAUGAUGGCCAGGCUGUCUCCACCCGAGACUCAGUGAAAUUGAACUCGCUGUGAAGAUGCAGUGUACCCGCGGCAAGACGGAAAGACCCCGUGAACCUUUACUAUAGCUUGACACUGAACAUUGAGCCUUGAUGUGUAGGAUAGGUGGGAGGCUUUGAAGUGUGGACGCCAGUCUGCAUGGAGCCGACCUUGAAAUACCACCCUUUAAUGUUUGAUGUUCUAACGUGGGCCCCUUACCGGGGUUGCGGACAGUGUCUGGUGGGUAGUUUGACUGGGGCGGUCUCCUCCUAAAGAGUAACGGAGGAGCACGAAGGUUGGCUAAUCCUGGUCGGACAUCAGGAGGUUAGUGCAAUGGCAUAAGCCAGCUUGACUGCGAGCGUGACGGCGCGAGCAGGUGCGAAAGCAGGUCAUAGUGAUCCGGUGGUUCUGAAUGGAAGGGCCAUCGCUCAACGGAUAAAAGGUACUCCGGGGAUAACAGGCUGAUACCGCCCAAGAGUUCAUAUCGACGGCGGUGUUUGGCACCUCGAUGUCGGCUCAUCACAUCCUGGGGCUGAAGUAGGUCCCAAGGGUAUGGCUGUUCGCCAUUUAAAGUGGUACGCGAGCUGGGUUUAGAACGUCGUGAGACAGUUCGGUCCCUAUCUGCCGUGGGCGCUGGAGAACUGAGGGGGGCUGCUCCUAGUACGAGAGGACCGGAGUGGACGCAUCACUGGUGUUCGGGUUGUCAUGCCAAUGGCACUGCCCGGUAGCUAAAUGCGGAAGAGAUAAGUGCUGAAAGCAUCUAAGCACGAAACUUGCCCCGAGAUGAGUUCUCCCUGACUCCUUGA